UGUUGCAUAGAAUUGUUCAGCUCAGUAUCUGGAAAACAGUCUAUCUGUUUUUAUCCUAUAGAACACUUAUCUACGGCAAAACACAAGAAUGUUGUGCAUGAAUGUCUGCACAUUCUUUGCUCUUCUGUAUCUGUCCCAUUCUGUACAAAGUGCACAGUUUGGUUCCAAUACAGUCUCCUUGUCAGGAGGAGGAAUUGAUGGCUCCAAUGCAGUUCCCAAUGGAGGAUCAGGUGGCUCCAAUGUAGUUCCCACUGAAGGAUUUGGUCGCUCCAAUGCAGUUCCCUCUAAAUUAGAACGUGCUAAUUGGAGUUGGAUGAGUAAUUAUUGGAAUUAUUGGAGUUGGAGUUGGCAGGGUUCUGAUUAUUGAUUACAGCCACUGGAUUAUGGACAUGGAACGUAUUUUGUACAUUUUUAAAAAUCUAAAUAAAUGUUUAGGCUUUUUCUGAAAA